CACUCCUGCCGGAGGCAGCAGUGGGGAAUAUUGGACAAUGGGCGCAAGCCUGAUCCAGCCAUGCCGCGUGAGUGAUGAAGGCCCUAGGGUUGUAAAGCUCUUUCACCGGUGAAGAUAAUGACGGUAACCGGAGAAGAAGCCCCGGCUAACUUCGUGCCAGCAGCCGCGGUAAUACGAAGGGGGCUAGCGUUGUUCGGAUUUACUGGGCGUAAAGCGCACGUAGGCGGACUAUUAAGUCAGGGGUGAAAUCCCGGGGCUCAACCCCGGAACUGCCUUUGAUACUGGUAGUCUUGAGUUCGAGAGAGGUGAGUGGAAUUCCGAGUGUAGAGGUGAAAUUCGUAGAUAUUCGGAGGAACACCAGUGGCGAAGGCGGCUCACUGGCUCGAUACUGACGCUGAGGUGCGAAAGCGUGGGGAGCAAACAGGAUUAGAAACCCCAGUAGUCCCAUG
rnacentral:rRNA from 1 species